rnacentral:rRNA from 1 species
UGACGGUACCUGACUAAGAAGCCCCGGCUAACUACGUGCCAGCAGCCGCGGUAAUACGUAGGGGGCAAGCGUUAUCCGGAUUUACUGGGUGUAAAGGGAGCGUAGACGGUCUGGCAAGUCUGAUGUGAAAGGCAGGGGCUCAACCCCUGAACUGCAUUUGGAACUGUCAAGCUAGAGUAUCGGAGAGGUAAGUGGAAUUCCUAGUGUAGCGGUGAAAUGCGUAGAUAUUAGGAGGAACACCAGUGGCGAAGGCGGCUUACUGGACGAUAACUGACGUUGAGGCUCGAAAGCGUGGGGAGCAAACAGGAUUAGAUACCCUG